CGGCAAUAAUGCCUUCAAUUUUCCGGCUUUAGAAAAUGUUACCGUCAAUAGAUGCUCCCGGAUGAAGAUUUUCGCUUCCGGACUUCUAAAUACACCAAAACUACGAGGAAUACUCCUGGAAUAUCAACAGCGUUGGGAGGGAAACCUUAAUGCAACACUAGCGGAAAUGGUAUUUGCAUAUUUAUUCUUAUGCUUUCUUCUUAAUUUUCAUGAUAUCUGUUGCAUGCAUAUAUGUUAUAUGUUUAUGAUAAGUCAGUUCAUUUGUUUUUCCCUUUGUCUUGUGGGAUCAGGCAUUUUGCCAAUAUUUUAAAGCAUCUGAAUUUCCUGAGCUCUGGCAUGAUGGGAUGCAAGGGAGACUCUUACGCAAUGUAAAAAUGCUUGAGGUGGAUAAAUGUGCAAUGUAUAACAAAGCUAUACCAUCCAAUGUACUGGUGUUUUUAAACAAGUUGGAAGAGCUUGAGGUGAAAGACUGUGAUUCAGCAGAAAUAGUAUUUGAUUUGGAAGGGCUAUCUGCAGAUGAUGGGCUGCUUCCCCGACUAAGGAAAUUGGAAUUAACAAGUCUGCCAAUGUUGAGACAUUUAUGGAACAAGGAUCCCAGAGGAAUUUUAGAAUUCAAGAACCUAAAGUGGCUUCAUGUUGGAAACUGUAGCAGCUUGAAGUAUAUUUUUACCUGGUCGAUGGCAUCGGGUCUUUUGCAACUUGAAGAGAUAGAAAUAUACAAUUGUAAGAUGAUUGAAGGAAUCAUAGAAAAUGAGGAAGCAGCUGAUAAGAUAAUAUUAUUGCCUUCAUUGAAAUCUGUAGUCCUUAAAUAUUUGCCUAGAUUUUCCAAAUUGUGUUCAGGAUGGAGUAAUGUGGAAUGUCCAUUGUUGGAAGAGAUGAGCAUACAUGAAUGUCCAAGUUUAAAGAAUAUCUUUGCCACACAGACACUAGUGAACACAAUUGAUGAGUUUCAUACACCUUUUCUUAAUAAGGUUAGUUUUCUAUUCAUUCUUUUCUCAAACAUUGCAUUUGAAAACUAUAAAAACACUAAUUUAUACGUCAGCUUAUUUAUUUUAAACGAUUUUUACAUUUAAUGUUAAUUUUUCUUUUCAAUUUAAAAAAAAUAAAUCAUACAAAACUCUUCAUUAAAAGAUAUAGAAAAAGAAAAUGAUAUGUUAAGAAUUUAAUUUAUUUACCAUAUUUAUUACUAAAAUAAAAUUUUAUCUUUCUUAAUAAAAACUGAAAUAAAAAAUACAUUAAUUUUUUACUAAUUAGAAAUUUUUUUAUUUGCUGAUGUGCAGAUGUUUCCAAAUUUGGAAAAGUUUUCGUUAGACAAGAAGUCUACCAUAACCAUACUUGGAUUUCAAUUUCCAACAUGCUUCUUUUCCAAAGUAAAAGUUCUUAAAUUGAGUUUCUUUCUAAACAAAUAUCAUGUUCCUCUGUUUAGUUUACUUCCAAUAUUCCCCAAUCUCCAAAGACUUGAAGUUCUUGAUUCUUCUCUCGACGAGCUACUUCCAUUUGAAGAACUGGGUGGUGACCAAGAAGAUAUCACUACAAUUCCACGUAUAAGAGAUUUAAAGCUUAAAAAUCUUCCUGAUUUAAAGCAUAUAUGGAAUCCAGAUGGCCAACUGCAUGACCCAUUAAUUCAGUCUCUUGAGACUUUUGAGAUAGAGUCUUGUGGAAAUUUGAUUGUUUUAGCACCAUCCUCUGUGUCUUUGAGAAAUCUGAAAACUCUCAAAGUAUAUAGAUGCAACACAUUGGCAAAUAUUUUUACAUCAGCCGCAGCCAAAAGUAUGGUACUACUUGAGACAUUGAUUGUAAGAUCUUGCAAUAUGUUGACCAAAAUAAUAGGAGGUGUUCAAGAGGAUGGAUCAACUGAUGAGAUUGUUUUCAGUAAGAUGAAAACAUUAGAACUUGAAGAUUUACAGAACCUCAAAUGCUUCUGCUUGGGCAGUUACUCUUUCAAAUUCCCAUCUUUAGAACAAGUGGAUGUUUUCAGAUGCCCCAAGUUGAGGACUUUCACUGUCCGCCAGCUGAGCGCACCAAAGAUACAUGGUGUAUUCACAGGCAACAGAUUCAAAAGAACAUUUCAUUGGGAAGGCGAUCUCAAUGCGACCAUUGAACAGAUUUACAUGAAAUAUGUACGUAUUUAACAACUCUUGCUUCUCCCUGUAUUAAACUCAGUCAUGCUAAUGUGUUUGGUUAAAUGCAUCGAUGCUUGUUUAGCGUUGGGAGGGAAACCUUAAUGCAACACUAGCAGAAAUGGUAUUUGCGUAUUUAUUCUUAUGCUUUCUUCUUAAUUUUCAAGAUAUCUGUUGCAUGCAUAUAUGUUAUAUGUUUAUGAUAAGUCAGUUCAUUUGUUUUUCCCUUUGUCUUGUGGGAUC
rnacentral:lncRNA from 1 species